GCCCGUUAUCAUCAGUAUCUCUCCCCGCCAGCUCCCAGCAUGGGGCCUUCCACAGCACCAGCUGACAGCUGAUCCUCUGGGAGGCGUGAAGAUGGAGUUGGCAGCUGAGGAGCUGUGAGGGUGCCGAGCCAGGCACCGGGUGGAGCUGCUCCACAUUCAGGAUGGGCGAUGGCGGCUUCCAGGAAGGCAGAGGAGCCUCUCAGAGGGCAGGAAGAGGAAGAGGAGGCAGAGCUGCCGGGAAGAACUGUGGGGUCAGGGUCUCCUUCUUGGUGAACUCAGCUGAAGACAUCCAAGAUGAUGAGAGUCUCCCCAAGAUAUAGGAGAAGAGAUGUAAGAAGGGCUUUGAG
rnacentral:lncRNA from 1 species